rnacentral:rRNA from 1 species
GGGGCAAACGUGCAACGCUGCGGCGUCUUACCCAUGUCAGUGAACGGUAAUGCCCUUCGGGGUGUACACGAGUGUGCGAACGGGUAUACCGUGAGCAACCUGCCCUUGACACUGGAGUAACAGUUGGAAACAGCUGCUAAUGCCGGAUAUACCUUCGGUGACAUCACCUGGAGGUGGAAAGUGCUUAGCGGUCAAUGAUUGGCUCGCGGCCUAUCAGCUAGUUGGUGAGGUAACGGCUCACCAAUGCUUCGACGGGUAGCCGGCCUGAGAGGGCGACCGGCCACACUGGGACUGAGAUACGGCCCAGACUCCUACGGGAGGCAGCAGUGGGGAAUAUUGCACAAUGGGCGCAAGCCUGAUGCAGCAACGCCGCGUGCGGGAUGACGGCCUUCGGGUUGUAAACCGCUUUCAGUUCCGACGAAGCGCAAGUGACGGUAGGAACAGAAGAAGGACCGGCCAACUACGUGCCAGCAGCCGCGGUGAUACGUAGGGUCCGAGCGUUGUCCGGAAUUAUUGGGCGUAAAGGGCUUGUAGGCGGUUCGUCACGUCGGAAGUGAAAACUCAGGGCUUAACCCUGAGCCUGCUUCCGAUACGGGCGAACUAGAGGAAUGCAGGGGAGAAUGGAAUUCCUGG